rnacentral:piRNA from 1 species
UGAAAUGGAGAAGCCUAGAGGAAAUA